CAAAUGUAAACUAUUAUGGUGUUAUGACAUACUUACUGUUACUGCACAAGUAUAAAUUCAGGAAUAGGUAACUUAAUUUGGACUGCUAAAGUGUACCAACAGCUCGCUAGCUAAGUUCAUGUUAGGCUAACUACUAACCGCUCACUGCUAGUACCCUGGCUGGAUACUUUUUUAGGUUUUUAGCCAUGCUCCACCAGCCCAACCCUUUCUGUGUCUGUAAAUCUUAUUUAGUCUAUUACAAAAUGUUAUUUUGAGAUACAAAUUUCGUUUGUCUCCACCCAAAUACCCAAAAUGUGCCAGGCCAAUGAACGUUAGCUACACACUGAAAAAACGUUUUGACUGUUUCGGAUGGUUAGCUACUUUACCUCUGCAGGAUGAACGUGCACUCGUUACUCUGGCGGCGACCACAAACGCAGGCGUGCGGUUCGUGAUUUGUCGGUGAGAAAAUGCUACACCAUGUUUCUGUCUGGUUUCAACUGCUGGAGAUCUGUAGCUGGGAUAGGUUUGGUAAGGUUUGCAAUGGCGAAAAAAGUAACAUAUUACAAAGCACAUCUAUACGACGAUCGACAGAAGAUUCCCAGAAGUACACUACAAAUGAGUUUGAAGAGACGUGGUAAGUUACAGUACCUUGCAAAAUAAAUUAUCAACUUACCUAACGUAAACGUAAUUGUACUCUACUUUACCUGAAUAGGUCAGUUUAGCUAGUUAACUAAGUAAUGAUAGUCAUUACCAGUAAGGUGCAUGAAUCAGUGACUUUGUGUAACACUAACAGCUUACUAGCUAUAUAAUUUCAGUUUAGUACAACUACAUAGAGCAAAUUACAGUACUGAUUUAGAAAUUAAUUUGACUCUUUAUGUAUAUAAUUACAGACCCACCAACGGAAGGAGGAUACACUGAGAUAAAGUUUCUUUCUAUUUACUUACAUUCUACUUUUCUGACAGUUACUUUAUUCAGAAAAGCAGUUAAUGUUAUAUUCUGCCCUUCAUUUAUACUCAAGCAUCAACACUGCGCAGAGCUGUGCAGAGUCAGGAGGCAGCAAGUGUUAUGCAAGAAGUCAAUGACACAGGCGGUCAGCAAGAAGUCAUUGAAGAUGGUGGAUGGAUUACUGAGAUUUCUGUGGAAAGUCAAGAGAGUCAGCAUGAGGACCAUGACUAUGAUGAUGCAGAGGAGGAGGAAGUUGUGAAUGAGGUAAUAUUAUCAUUGGGAUAUGCAUCAUUUUAUAAAUAAGUUGAAUGUUUCUAGAGCAGUUAUGCACAAACAUUUAGAAAGUUGGUUAGCU
rnacentral:lncRNA from 1 species